CCUACGGGUGGCAGCAGUGGGGAAUAUUGCACAAUGGAGGGAACUCUGAUGCAGCGACGCCGCGUGAGUGAAGAAGUAAUUCGUUAUGUAAAGCUCUAUCAGCAGGGAAGAAAGUGACGGUACCUGAAAAAGAAGCUCCGGCUAAAUACGUGCCAGCAGCCGCGGUACUACGUAGGGAGCAAGCGUGAUCCGGAGUUACUGGGUGUGAAGGGCGAGUAGGUGGUGGAGCAAGUCAGAGGUGAAAACCCGGGGCUCAACGAUGGAAAUGAAGUUGAAACUGGAGGACUAGAGAGCAGGAGAGGGAGGUGGAAUGCAUGGUGUAGGGGUGAAAUGCUUAGAGAGCAGAAAGAACACCGAUUGCGAAGGCAGCUUACCAAACUAUAUCUGACGCUGAGGCACGAAAGCGUGGGGAGCAAACAGGAUUAGAUACCCGAGUAGUC
rnacentral:rRNA from 1 species